UACGUAGGGGGCAAGCGUUGUCCGGAUUUAUUGGGCGUAAAGAGCGUGUAGGCGGCCUGACAAGUCUGCUGUGAAAACUCGAGGCUCAACCUCGAGAUGUCGGCGGAAACUGUCUGGCUAGAGUCCGGAAGAGGAGAGUGGAAUUCCCGGUGUAGCAGUGAAAUGCGUAGAGAUCGGGAGGAACAUCAGUUGCGAAGGCGGCUCUCUGGACCAGCACUGACACUGAGGCACGAAAGCGUGGGGAGCAAACAGG
rnacentral:rRNA from 1 species